GUCAGGGUGGCCGAGUGGUCUAACGUGCUGCGUUUAGAUCGCAGUCUUGUUUGGCAGGCGUGGGUUCGAACCCACUCACAACA
rnacentral:tRNA from 1 species